UACGAAGGGUGCAAGCGUUACUCGGAAUUACUGGGCGUAAAGCGUGCGUAGGUGGUUCGUUAAGUCCGAUGUGAAAGCCCUGGGCUCAACCUGGGAAUGGCAUUGGAUACUGGCGGGCUAGAGUGCGGUAGAGGGCAGUGGAAUUCCCGGUGUAGCAGUGAAAUGCGUAGAGAUCGGGAGGAACAUCUGUGGCGAAGGCGACUGCCUGGACCAGCACUGACACUGAGGCACGAAAGCGUGGGGAGCAAACAGGG
rnacentral:rRNA from 1 species